rnacentral:miRNA from 1 species
GCUAAAUUUUAAUUUCAGGUACAUAGGGAAUCAUUUUUUAAGUGUGAGUAUGUCCCAUACAAUAGUUGGGACAUACUUAUACUAAAAAUUAUUUGUUGUUUUUCUGAAAUUCAGUUUAA